AGCGUAGGCGGUCUCUUAAGUCAGAUGUGAAAGCCCGGGGCUUAACCCCGGAAGUGCAUUUGAAACUAAGGGACUUGAGUAUGGGAGAGGGAAGUGGAAUUCCUGGUGUAGAGGUGAAAUUCGUAGAUAUCAGGAGGAACACCGGUGGCGAAGGCGACUUCCUGGACCAAUACUGACGCUGAGGCGCGAAGGCGUGGGGGAGCAAACA
rnacentral:rRNA from 1 species